UAGGGAAUUUUGCGCAAUGGGCGGAAGCCUGACGCAGCAAUACCGCGUGAGUGAAGAAGGCCUUCGGGUCGUAAAGCUCUUUAUCUAUGGGAAGAUAAUGACGGUACCAUAGGAAUAAGCACCGGCUAACUCCGUG
rnacentral:rRNA from 1 species